AUUUCAAAGGACACUAUAUUGUAAUGUAAAGGUAGUUUCCUUUAGCAAGGUAUGGCCUGAGGAUGAGAGAAAGAGUGUUCAGACAGUGGUUAGAAGGCCACUAGUGGCAAAACAGUUACUGCAGAAAUAAACUUGUAUGAAGUAAAUUAAAUACCGAAAUUAAGGUUUGGAUUCUGACACUGACUCCCAUCAGGCUGAGCCAAGGUAGGAAACAGGGUGACUAAAACAUUUUGUAUAUGUGUCUGUAUAUAUGUAGGUAUAUCUGUGUAGGUCUGUGUCUAUGUGCAUCUGUCUGCAUGUGUGGGGGCGGACUUAGGGGAAGGGGAGGGUAGACAGAUGGGGGUUGCGCCAGGCAGUUUUUGCACUGGGCCCUGUAGUUUCUAGUUACGCCUCUGUGUCAUGUGGUAUCUCUU